ensembl:lncRNA
UCUAUAGACAGUUGGCUUUAAACUCCUAUGUCAUGUUGUUAUAAAUCACAACAUAGAAUCUAUAGACAGUUGUUAUAAAUCACAACAUAGAAUCUAUAGACAGUUGUUAUAAAUCACAACAUAGAAUCUAUAGACAGUUGGCACUAAACCCCUAUGUCAUGUUGUUAUAAAUCACAACAUAGAAUCUAUAGACACACGGCAGGGUGAUAAAGACACUGGGCUGCUGAGGACAUCAGAUGCACCAGACACUGGACAUACAUCACAUUACUCUAGACUACUGUUCUGUCAGUUCAGACACAACGGAGCUCUAGUUAUUCCCGUAGCAGGGAUAGAAUGGAGACUAAAAGCUGCUACGUUUUGUUUGUAGGAGCAACCCCAGGUGAUCUGGGACAUAACAAGUUGAUAGAGCUGAAGAUUCUGUGUUGCAGUUUUCUUUAACCUUUUGGAUCAAUUUCUCUUCAAAUGAAUAUAUCAGCUUCGAUUUUCAUGUUUGUGAAAAAAACAAGUAUCAUAGUGUGUGAUCUGGUGAACUGACCUUUCACAUUCAAACUGACCCCUGACCCCUGACCCCUGUGAGAGAUGACAUCAUCCAAACUCGUCCUGUACUAGACGCAAAACACAGACCAGGUGUGAGAACACAGACAAACAAAGAGAUAGCUUUGUAGCUAACGACGACACCUCACCUGGAGCACUGGAGGCUGGUGGGAGCGGGAGAUAUCGGAGGACGGGCUCACAUUGUUAACAGCUGGAAUGGGAUAAAACGGAGCGGUAUGAAAACGCGUGACGACUGAGCCUGUCAAUUUAACUACAUCUCCACCCACCAGCCUCCACUGACCCGUAACCAAGGUAACCAACAUGUCCAUCUAUAGAAGACAAGUCAUCGGGGUGUGAGGUAAAGCUACAAUACAAAACCAAUGAGAAUAACAUCACUAGCUAACUAAAGAUACAUGUAACAGUGAUUAUGCCAGUCACUUCUGAGUGGUCAGUCGGGCUUGAUGUUUCCAUAUAGUGCCAUGUUGUGAAUACAUUUAUAAUUACAUGUUAAUGGAGUAAAUUGAAAACCUGUAUUUAAAAUUAAAAAAAAAAAACUGUUCCAAAAUAUUACAGAUGAGUAGUUGUGUUAAAGCUAAGGGCAUAUUUGUUCUCAAAUGGAUUCUACCGGGUCAGAGAAAGAAGGAACGAGCAAAGAUAACUCUGUCCUAUAUAUUACAUGUCUAUUUUUCAUAUAACAUAAUAAAUACAACUUGGAAUUAUCAGCAGCUUACUCCUGGUGACGAUUCUGUUUUUCUGAUCAACUGUCUCAUCUCUGUCCGCCAUUUUAUGUCCUUAAGCUCUUUAUCAUCGUAAUAUAUAGUUAUUGUCUUAUACAGAACAUCUGCUAUUAUCAACAUCCUGUAAAGACACAGGAAGAGGACUUCUGAAGGGAAGUAGAGACAUGACCUUGUUAUUUCUAGCAGCUUGAAGAGGAGCGAGGGAGAGAGAGAGGCGUGAGGGAGAGAGAGAGGCGUGAGGGAGAGAGAGGCGCGAGGGAGAGAGAGGCUGGUGGGAGAGAGAGGCGCGAGGGAGAGAGAGGCGCGAGGGAGAGAGAGGCUGGUGGGAGAGAGAGGCGUGAGGGAGAGAGAGGCGCGAGGGAGAGAGAGGCGUGAGGGAGAGAGAGGCGCGAGGAGAGAGAUGCUGGUGGGAGAGAGAGGCGCGAGGGAGAGAGAGGCGCGAGUGAGAGAGAGGCACGAGGGAGAGAGAGGCGCGAGAGAGAGAGAGAGGCGCGAGGGAGAGAGAGGCGCGCGAGAGAGAGAGGCGCGAGGGAGAGAGAGGCGCGCGAGAGAGAGAGGCGUGAGGGAGAGAGAGGCGCGGGGGAGAGAGAGGCUGGUGGGAGAGAGAGGCGCGAGGGAGAGAGAGGCGCGAGGGAGAGAGAGGCGCGAGUGAGAGAGAGGCACGAGGGAGAGAGAGGCGCGAGAGAGAGAGAGAGGCGCGAGGGAGAGAGGCGCGCGAGAGAGAGAGGCGCGAGGGAUAGAGACAGAGGCUAUAAACGGUGCUCCUAGAAAUAGAACUCGAGGACUCUCACAGCGUUUGAUGACUCACCAGGUUAAUGGUUUCUCUAGGCUGUGUGUGACUCUCUCUGUCUCAUUCCCAACCUAUGCGACUGCAGAUAGGAUGGGAGAGGAGGGGCUGCUGCAAACUGUCUCUUAUGGUAAUCAAUCCACGAGGAUUCAAAAGCACAUUUUAGACAUUUUAUUUUUCAGGUGUUGGGUCAUGUAACUCAUUACACAGACCUUCCAUCCAUACCAUCAUAUAAUAACUCAUGUCGUGUCUUUGGCUAUGCCGGAUUAAGUGAUAUGACAUGCUAUUCUAUCAAAUAAUGUCUCUGUAAUUAAUAUUACCUGAUUGAGCUAAUCAUGUAAAUGUCAUUAACUAGAGAGUCGGGGCACCACGAAAUAAUAUUUAUAGAGCUGUUAUCUUCCGAAUAAACUCUUAAAGACCUGGUACUCUUUUACCUCAAUAGCAGUCAAUAUUUAAUCGUCACCUUAUUCAGUCUCAUCUGAAAGUUGUAAAUUCUUGGUUAUCUUCACGAAACAAGUUGAAUCAGC